rnacentral:misc_RNA from 1 species
AUUCCUCUGUCGGCCUCACUUACCAAUACUCACACCAAGUCAACACCUCAAAGAUAAAAAGUUCCGGAAAAUGCUACAAAAACGAGGAAUUGUUUAGAUGUCAAUUUAUUAAAACUUGUGUUCGAUCUGAAGUAAAAGUAAAUAACAUUUUUGCUAUUUCCACAAUAUGCAUUGUGCGUUUGUGUGAAUUAUUGUCUCUAAUAAGCCCAGAUAAAAUUGAAUAUUUGGGGAUUUUUUUCUCUGAAUGAUAAAUAUUCAUCCGUUAGAAUGAUAAAGAACAUUCAGCAACGGACAACACUUCAUGGUGGUUGAGAGGGGGUAUUACCGAAACGUAACGACUGCAUGAAACAGGCAGGCAUUGUACAUUGUCACUACCUGGCGUUGUGUCAACAAGGUCUUACUGUAUAUUUACCCAAACGAUGAUCUUUUAAUGAAUACAUGUAUAAAACAGUGUG